AUUUUCUCAUCGUAAUUUCAAUAUUAAUUGGAGUGAUUUUUGGGCAUGAUUAACUGCUGCAAGCACUGAGAAUAGAACAAACUGAAAAUCAGAGCCAAAAUGCGCAUGAGAUUGCAAACUAGUCGGACUAAGGCCCCGUUUUGUCAUUGAGGUUUAGAGUAAAAGAAAAUGCCAGUUGAAAAACAGUUAUUUUGUGAUUUUAG
rnacentral:misc_RNA from 1 species